UCCCAGGUAGCUUAAUGGUAAAGCACCCAACCGGCAAUUGGGGGAUCUGGGUUCCAAGUCCCGGUCUAGGCU
rnacentral:tRNA from 1 species